rnacentral:rRNA from 1 species
AUUGAACGCUGGCGGCAUGCCUUACACAUGCAAGUCGAACGGCAGCGGGCCUUCGGGUGCUGGCGAGUGGCGAACGGGUGAGUAAUGCAUCGGAACGUGCCAUUGAGUGGGGGAUAACGUAGCGAAAGUUACGCUAAUACCGCAUAUUCUGUGAGCAGGAAAGCAGGGGACCGCAAGGCCUUGCGCUCUUUGAGCGGCCGAUGUCAGAUUAGCUAGUUGGUGAGGUAAAGGCUUACCAAGGCGACGAUCUGUAGCGGGUCUGAGAGGAUGAUCCGCCACACUGGAACUGAGACACGGUCCAGACUCCUACGGGAGGCAGCAGUGGGGAAUUUUGGACAAUGGGCGCAAGCCUGAUCCAGCCAUGCCGCGUGAGUGAAGAAGGCCUUCGGGUUGGUAAAGGCUCUUUCGGCCGGGAAGAAAGUACGCAUGGGUUAAUACCCUGUGUGGAUGACGGUACCGGAAUAAGAAGACACCGGCUAACUACGUGCCAGCAGCCG